rnacentral:misc_RNA from 1 species
AACGCACAUUGCGCCUCUUGGUAUUCCGAGGGGCAUGUCUGUUUGAGCGUCAGUAACCAACUCUCCUGAGCGCUUUUUUGCGCUCCGGGGGUCUUGAGACGACGGGCUUCACGGCCCUUCUCUCUAAUGUUGCACGCUUGCGGACUCAUGGUCGAACCCGACGUAGUAAACAUUCUCGUCCGUUGAAACCGUGUGGUCUCGCCUGAACACAUCAAACUUGUAGUUUGACCUCAGAUCAGACAAGGAUACCCGCUGAACUUAA